UGUGCUUCAACAACACACUAAAACUGGAAUAAUUUCCAGAAGACUAGCGUGGUCCCUGCGCAAAGAUGACAUGCUAUAUAUGAAGCACUCAGUAGGGCUUGUUU
rnacentral:snRNA from 1 species